rnacentral:rRNA from 1 species
AGAGUUUGAUCAUGGCUCAGGAUGAACGCUGGCGGCGUGCUUAACACAUGCAAGUCGAACGGGACUCUUCGGAGUCCAGUGGCGGACGGGUGAGUAACGCGUGAGAAUCUGCCUUCCGGAUGGGGACAACCGCUGGAAACGGCGGCUAAUCCCCAAUGUGCCGAGAGGUAAAACGGGUAAAACCGCCGGAAGAGGAGCUCGCGCCCGAUUAGCUAGUUGGUGGGGUAACAGCUCACCAAGGCCACGAUCGGUAGCCGGUCUGAGAGGACGAUCGGCCACACUGGGACUGAGACACGGCCCAGACUCCUACGGGAGGCAGCAGUGGGGAAUUUUCCGCAAUGGGCGAAAGCCUGACGGAGCAACGCCGCGUGGGGGAGGAAGGCUCUUGGGUUGUAAACCCCUUUUCUCAGGGAAGAAGCUCUGACGGUACCUGAGGAAUCAGCCUCGGCUAACUCCGUGCCAGCAGCCGCGGUAAUACGGAGGAGGCAAGCGUUAUCCGGAAUUAUUGGGCGUAAAGCGUCCGCAGGUGGCUAUUUAAGUCUGCUGUCAAAGACCGGGGCUCAACUCCGGGUCGGCAGUGGAAACUGGAUAGCUAGAGUACGGUAGGGGUAGAGGGAAUUCCCGGUUGUACGGUGAAAUGCGUAAAGAUCGGGAAGAACACCGGUGGCGAAGGCGCUCUACUGGACCGGCACUGACACU